rfam:Brachypodium distachyon strain Bd21 chromosome 1, whole genome shotgun sequence.
AAUCUACUCCCUCCGUCCAACAAAAAAUGUCUCAGCUUUGACUUUUAAAUGCACCUAUACACUAAGUCAUGUCUAAAUACAUUCAAAUUUUGAAAAACUUGAGACAUCUUUUGUUGGACUGAGGAAGUACUUU